rnacentral:rRNA from 1 species
GCUUAUGGCUACACCAGUGUGAAUGCAUCUGAUCUCGGAAGAUAAACACACUUGGGCUCAGCCAGUACUUGGAUGGGAGACUACCUGGGAACCCUGAGUGCAGUAAGCU